rnacentral:rRNA from 1 species
UACGGGGGGGGCAAGCGUUGUUCGGAAUUACUGGGCGUAAAGGGCGCGUAGGCGGCCUGCUAAGUCGGAUGUGAAGUCCCUCGGCUCAACCGAGGAACUGCAUCCGAUACUGGCGGGCUUGAAUCCGGGAGAGGGAUGUGGAAUUCCAGGUGUAGCGGUGAAAUGCGUAGAUAUCUGGAGGAACACCGGUGGCGAAGGCGGCUCUCUGGGCCUUACCUGACGCUGAGGAGCGAAAGUGUGGGGAGCGAACAGG